GACGAGGCACUACGGUGCUGAAGCAACAAAUGCCCUGCUUCCAGGAAAAGCCUCUAAGCAUCAGGUAACACGAAAUCGUACCCCAAACCGACACAGGUGGUCAGGUAGAGAAUACCAAGGCGCUUGAGAGAACUCGGGUGAAGGAACUAGGCAAAAUGGUGCCGUAACUUCGGGAGAAGGCACGCUGACACGUAGGUGAAGUGAUUUACUCAUGGAGCUGAAGUCAGUCGAAGAUACCAGCUGGCUGCAACUGUUUAUUAAAAACACAGCACUGUGCAAACACGAAAGUGGACGUAUACGGUGUGACGCCUGCCCGGUGCCGGAAGGUUAAUUGAUGGGGUCAGCGUAAGCGAAGCUCCUGAUCGAAGCCCCGGUAAACGGCGGCCGUAACUAUAACGGUCCUAAGGUAGCGAAAUUCCUUGUCGGGUAAGUUCCGACCUGCACGAAUGGCGUAAUGAUGGCCAGGCUGUCUCCACCCGAGACUCAGUGAAAUUGAACUCGCUGUGAAGAUGCAGUGUACCCGCGGCAAGACGGAAAGACCCCGUGAACCUUUACUAUAGCUUGACACUGAACAUUGAGCCUUGAUGUGUAGGAUAGGUGGGAGGCUUUGAAGUGUGGACGCCAGUCUGCAUGGAGCCGACCUUGAAAUACCACCCUUUAAUGUUUGAUGUUCUAACGUGGACCCGUAAUCCGGGUUGCGGACAGUGUCUGGUGGGUAGUUUGACUGGGGCGGUCUCCUCCUAAAGAGUAACGGAGGAGCACGAAGGUUGGCUAAUCCUGGUCGGACAUCAGGAGGUUAGUGCAAUGGCAUAAGCCAGCUUGACUGCGAGCGUGACGGCGCGAGCAGGUGCGAAAGCAGGUCAUAGUGAUCCGGUGGUUCUGAAUGGAAGGGCCAUCGCUCAACGGAUAAAAGGUACUCCGGGGAUAACAGGCUGAUACCGCCCAAGAGUUCAUAUCGACGGCGGUGUUUGGCACCUCGAUGUCGGCUCAUCACAUCCUGGGGCUGAAGUAGGUCCCAAGGGUAUGGCUGUUCGCCAUUUAAAGUGGUACGCGAGCUGGGUUUAGAACGUCGUGAGACAGUUCGGUCCCUAUCUGCCGUGGGCGCUGGAGAACUGAGGGGGGCUGCUCCUAGUACGAGAGGACCGGAGUGGACGCAUCACUGGUGUUCGGGUUGUCAUGCCAAUGGCACUGCCCGGUAGCUAAAUGCGGAAGAGAUAAGUGCUGAAAGCAUCUAAGCACGAAACUUGCCCCGAGAUGAGUUCUCCCUGAGACUU
rnacentral:rRNA from 1 species